rnacentral:misc_RNA from 1 species
AACCAUAGAAACCUGCGGAGUACCUGCGGAGGGAUCAUUACUGAGGAACUGUGUUUGGGGAGGGUGUGGGUCUACAUUUUUUUUCGUGGAUUUCCCCUCCCCUUCACCCUCUCACAUCAUGUUUUUUUUAUUUUAUUUUUUAUUGCUUCGGUAGGACGUUGGUUUCGUUUUGUUUAACGAAAUUCACCACUGGCUUUUAAGCGGGUGUGUGCCUACCGAAGAACCAAACUCUUUUAACUU